GUGGAUUACCUACCUCUGCGUCAGGGACAACUGUGCUAACGCGCAGCUAAUACCAGAUAACGUCUCCGGACCAAAGGUGCGAUUCCGCCUGGAGAUGGGUCCGCGUCCUAUUAGCUAGUUGGUAAGGUAAUGGCUUACCAAGGCCGAGAUGGGUAGCAGGUGUGAGAGCACGACCUGCGACACUGGGACUGAGACACUGCCCAGACACCUACGGGUGGCUGCAGUCGAGAAUUUUCUGCAAUGGGCGCAAGCCUGACAGAGCGACGCCGCGUGCGGGAUGAAGGCCUUCGGGUUGUAAACCGCUGUCAGUGGGGAGCAAGUUACCAGGGGUUCUCCCCUGGUAUUGAGCAAUCCGCAGAGGAAGCUCGGGCUAAGUUCGUGCCAGCAGCCGCGGUAAGACGAACCGAGCAAGCGUUAUUCGGAAUUACUGGGCUUAAAGAGUCCGUAGGCGGCGCGUUAGGUGGGGUGUGAAAUCCCUCGGCCCAACCGAGGAAUGGCGCUCCAAACCGGCGUGCUU
rnacentral:rRNA from 1 species